AUGAGGCUAACCACUUUUGGGCCUGCUGUCUGGUUGAUGUACUUUGGCUUCCCAUACGACUACCAAACAGAUUUUUACGUCAAUAAGUUGAUGUGGGGCUUUGGUAGUCUGAUUUCCUGGUAUAAUCCUGGUCAGGAUCGUAGAUUUGUCAUGCUGAAAACAUGUGUUAUUCACUUAAGAUUAGUGCCAAAGAGUUUUGUUGUCAGGCAAUUGGGUGGGCCAAGAGAAUGUUGGACUGUUCAAGUAACUAUUCUCCAUAGCAAUGACUGGAAUGCACAUAUUCCUGAGAUCCCUCCGGCUGGAGAAGAUCCACCUCCCCCUAAUGGUAACCCUCACCCUUUGUUUGGCCCGGAUCUUACUGCUGAACAGUUGUACCAGGAACAAGUUCAUAAUUGGUUUGCUGUAAAUGGGAUGCCCAAUCAGAAUGAGGGUGCUGCAGAUAACAACAUUGCUCACAAUGGUGAUGUGCAAAUUGAUGCUGCCUGGGGUGCAUGGCCAGCCCCACCUCCUCCUCCGCCGCCACGUAUGGUGGUGAACUAUCAGGCUUGGCUACAGGAUCAAGGCUUGCAUGUUCAUGAUGGUAUUAUUCCUUCUUAUAAUGAUUCUGACAGUUCAGCCCAAGCUUGGAAUGAUUCCAUCAUGGUUGUUAGCUCUAGCUCUGAUAGCUCAGAUUCUGGCUAUGUUCUGGUGCCCAUUAAUAGGUUACCUGGUUUCCAGAUUGGACAAUCUUCAAACUCUGCUAUCACACCCUCAUUCAAUACAAUCAGUGCACAGCUGACCAAUCUCUAUGUUUUAGUGCAUAAUUCAGGUCUUCAGUUUAGUUUAGACUACCAGGAUGAUGUGGUUUUCUCACUGCUGCUCAAUGAUCCAGCACCUGUCAGACAGCUCAAUAACAUGCUUGCAACUCUUAUUCGUCCUCAUUUGGCCACCUUUGGGCCAUGGAACUUUGGCUAUGGUUUGCGUUAUGAUAAUUUUCAGAUUGAUAUUCAGAUUGCUCUUGGAUCGAAUGGUAUUGUGUUCUCUACAGCCACUAUCAACCAAUCCAAUGAUAAUGCUCUGCCAUCAUCAGUCACUCUUGAGGAAAUCACUGUUGACACACACUCUCAUUCUCUGGAAGACUCUCUGGUUCCUGUUCCCCAAAAUCUGAUUGAAGCUUUUGACACCCAGGUUGCUGCUGUUAGUGAGACUACUGCUCCUGACAAUGAUCUUCAGGUCGUGACAUUCAUAGAUCUGGUUCCUGUGACUGAGAUCCUGGAGGGUCAGAAUUCAGUUGAGGAUGGCAUUUCUGUCACGCAACCGGCUCCUCUCUUGGCUACACAUGAGUCUGUUGCUGCAACUAUUCUCCAUAGUGCUCGUCGAGGCAAAAAGCUGGCUCCCAUCACUUCUGUUGAGCUUUGUUGUAGCACUCGCUCUAAUAAAUAUGAUGGUUUUCAUGUCCCUCAACACUCUGAUCAUCGUCCAUUCAAGAGCAAGGUGAAGCCUAGAAUUGUUCCUGGAGCUCAAGUUUCAAGUGCUACUGACCAAGCUCUGGAGGUUGAAGCCUCAGACACCACUGCUGCUGACAUUCCCCCGCCAACUCCAGUCCCUGUGAUGCAAUAUAUUGGGGUGCACCCUCUGCACUAUCCCUGA
rnacentral:rRNA from 1 species